UACGUAGGGGGCAAGCGUUGUCCGGAAUCAUUGGGCGUAAAGAGCGUGUAGGCGGCCCGAUAAGUCCGCUGUGAAAGUCCAGGGCUCAACCCUGGGAUGCCGGUGGAUACUGUCGGGCUCGAGUCCGGAAGUGGAGUGUGGAAUUCCGUGGUGUAGCGGUGAAAUGCGCAGAUAUCAGGAGGAACACCAAUGGCGAAGGCAGCACUCUGGGACGUGACUGACGCUGAGACGCGAAAGCGUGGGGAGCAAACAGG
rnacentral:rRNA from 1 species